GAGAGGCACUGUUUUUUGCCCCUAGUGGUUGUGAAUUUACCUUCUCCUCUUCACAGUGAUAAAGGAGAUAAACUCACAACCGUUAUGGGCAGAAACCAGGUGAAUCUU
rnacentral:pre_miRNA from 1 species